rnacentral:rRNA from 1 species
ACGAACGCUGGCGGCGUGCCUUAAGCAUGCAAGUGGAACGAGACUAGUAGCAAUACUAUUCUAGUCGCGAACGGCUGAGUACAAGAUAGGAAUCUACCUUUUAGUGGGAAUACCUAUCCGAAAGGAUAGUUAAUACCGCAUAGACCUCCGGGUGAAAAUACCGCAAGGAGCUGAAAGAGGAGCCUAUCCACCAUCAGUUUGUUGGUAGGUGGUAAUGACCUACCAAGACUACGACGGUUAGGGGGCGUGAGAGCGUGACCCCCCAGAAUGGGACUGAGACACGGCCCAUACGCCUACGGGUGGCAGCAACUGGGAAUUGUGCACAAUGGACGAAAGUCUGAUGCCGCGACGCCGCGUGAAGGAUGAAGGCCUACGGGUCGUAAACUUCUUUUGCCAAGUGUGAGAGCACUUGGAGAAUAAGUACCCGCUAACUCUGUGCCAGCAGCUGCGGUGAUACAGAGGGUACAAGCGUUGUCCGGAUUUACUGGGCGUAAAGUGUUUACGUAGGCGUCUUCUUAAGGUACUUUUUCAAAGACCGGGGCUACAAACCUCUCGGGAAGGGAAGUAAUACUGGGAGGAUUGAAAUCUUCUAGGGCUACUGGAACUAUUGGUGUAGGGGGUGAAAUCCGUUGAUAUCAAUAGGAACUCCAAGGGCGAAGGCAGGUAGCUGAGAAGUUUUUGACGCUGAGGAACGAAAGCUAGGGGAGGCGAAAGGUAUUAGAGACCCCUGUAGUCCUAGCCGUAAACGAUGCUCGCUAGCUCGGUGGGCCUUUUGGUUCAUGGGAGUAAGCUAUACGCGUGAAGCGAGCCGCCUGGGGAGUACGACCGCAAGGUUAAAAACUCAAAGGAAUUGACGGGGACCUGACACAACCAGUGGAGCAUGUGGUUUAAUUCGAGACGAACCGAAGAACCUCACCUAGAUUUGACAUAUUACCAGUUUAGUUUUUCAGAAAUGAAAAAAUGAUCUCUUAAUUGUAGAUGGUAUUACAGGUGCUGCAUGGCUGUCGUCAGCUCGUGCCGUAGGGUGUUUCCUUCAGUGGUAGUAACGAGCGCAACCCCUAUCAUGUGUAUUGAAUAUUCACAUGAGACUGCCUUACUUUGUAAGGAGGAAGGUGGGGACGACGUCAAGUCAGCAUGGCCUUUAUUAUCUAGGGCUACACACAUUCUACAAUGGAGCCGACAAUGGGUUGCCAAGCCGUAAGGCGGAGCUAAUCCCAUCAAACGGCUUCUCAGUGGGGAUUGGGGGCUGCAACUCGCCCUCAUGAACGCGGAAUAUUGGUAGUAAUCGCGGAUCAGCUAGGCCGCGGUGAAUACGUUCUCAGGUCUUGUACACACCGCCCGUCAAGGCAGUAAAGUUGGGGGCGCCCGAAGACCAAUUGUAUUGGCCCACGGCGACACCAGCGAUAAGGCUU